rnacentral:rRNA from 1 species
AGGGUUUGAUUCUGGCUCAGAGCGAACGCUGGCGGCGUGUUUGAUUCAUGCAAGUCGAACGGAAGUGUUCUUUCGAGGACACGAGAGUGGCGUAAGGCCGAGUAAUACAUGGGUAACAUGCCCUUGAGAUUGGGACAACCCAGGGAAACCUGGGCUAAUACCGGAUACGUCCGCGUCACGCAUGUGAUGUGGAGAAAGGCGGGUUUUCGGACCUGUCGCUCAAGGAUUGGCCCGUGGCCUAUUAGCUUGUUGGUGAGGUAACAGCUCACCAAGGCGAAGAUGGGUAGCCGACCUGAGAGGGUGAUCGGCCGGACUGGGACUGAGACACUGCCCAGACUCCUACGGGAGGCAGCAGAGGAGAAUCAUCCACAAUGGGCGAAAGCCUGAUGGUGCGACGCCGCGUGGGGGAUGAAGGCCCUUGGGUUGUAAACCCCUGUUGAGACCUAGGAAAGCAUGGAGGGUUAAUACCCCUUUUUGUUGACCAAGUCUUGAGGAAGCUCCGGCUAACUCCGUGCCAGCAGCCGCGGUAAGACGGAGGGAGCAAGCGUUGCUCGGAAUUACUGGGCGUAAAGGGCGUGUAGGCGGAUUGGUAAGUUGGGUGUGAAAUCCCUCGGCUCAACCGAGGAACUGCAUUCAAUACUGCCAGUCUUGAGUUUGGAAGAGGAGAGUGGAACUCCUGGUGGAGCGGUGAAAUGCGUAGAUAUCAGGAGGAACGUCAGUGGCGAAAGCGGCUCUCUGGUCCAAUACUGACGCUGAGGCGCGAAAGCCAGGGUAGCGAACGGGAUUAGAUACCCCGGUAGUCCUGGCCCUAAACGAUGGGCACUAGGUAGAUGUGACUUUAAUGUUGUGUCUGCCGUAGCUAACGUGUUAAGUGCCCCGCCUGGGGAGUAUGGUCGCAAGGCUAAAACUCAAAGAAAUUGACGGGGGCUCGCACAAGCGGUGGAGGAUGUGGCUUAAUUCGAGGCAACGCGAAGAACCUUACCGGGGAUUGACAUCUAUGUGGUACGGACCCGAAAGGGCGAGGACCCGGUUUACCGGGAGCAUAGACAGGUGUUGCAUGGCUGUCGUCAGCUCGUGUCGUGAGAUGUUGGGUUAAGUCCCGUAACGAGCGAAACCCUUGUCAUUAGUUGCCAGCGCGUCAUGGCGGGGACUCUAAUGAGACUGCCGGUGUUAAACCGGAGGAAGGUGGGGAUGACGUCAAGUCCUCAUGGCCCUUACACCCCGGGCUGCACACGUCCUACAAUGGCCGAUACAAAGGGAUGCUAUACCGCGAGGUGGCGCAAACCCCAAAAAGUCGGUCUCAGUUCGGAUCGUAGGCUGCAAUUCGCCUGCGUGAAGUCGGAAUCGCUAGUAAUCGCGUAUCAGCAUGACGCGGUGAAUAUGUUCCCGAGCCUUGUACACACCGCCCGUCUAGCCACGAGAGCUGGGGGUACCUGAAGUCGCUAACCUAACCCUAGAGGAAGGAAGCGCCCACGGUAAACCUGGCGAUUGGGACUAAGUCGAAACAAGGUA